rnacentral:tRNA from 1 species
CUGCGAUUAGAUCAGCUUGGUAGCGCAACUGGUUUGGGACCAGUGGGUCGGAGGUUCUAAUCCUCUCUCGCCGACCA